UGGGGAAUAUUGGACAAUGGGCGCAAGCCUGAUCCAGCCAUGCCGCGUGAGUGAUGAAGGCCCUAGGGUUGUAAAGCUCUUUCGGUGGGGAAGAUAAUGACGGUACCCACAGAAGAAGCCCCGGCUAACUUCGUGCCAGCAGCCGCGGUAAUACGAAGGGGGCUAGCGUUGUUCGGAAUUACUGGGCGUAAAGCGCACGCAGGCGGAUUGUUAAGUUAGGGGUGAAAUCCUGGGGCUCAACUCCAGAACUGCCUUUAAUACUGGCAAUCUCGAGUCCGGAAGAGGUGAGUGGAAUUCCUAGUGUAGAGGUGGAAUUCGUAGAUAUUAGGAAGAACACCAGUGGCGAAGGCGGCUCACUGGUCCGGUACUGACGCUGAGGUGCGAAAGCGUGGGGAGCAAACAGG
rnacentral:rRNA from 1 species